GAUGAAGAACGCAGCGAAAUGCGAUAAGUAGUGUGAAUUGCAGAAUUCAGUGAAUCAUCGAAUCUUUGAACGCACAUUGCGCCCCUUGGUAUCCCGAGGGGCAUGCCUGUUCGAGCGUCAUUUCACCACUCAAGCCUGGCUUGGUGUUGGGCGACGUCCCCUUUGGGGACGCGCCUCGAAACGCUCGGCGGCGUGGCACCGGCUUUAAGCGUAGCAGAAUCUUUCGCUUUGGAAGUCGGGGCCCCGUCUGCCGGAAGACCUACUCGCAAGGUUGACCUCGGAUCAGGUAGGGAUACCCGCUGAACUUAAGCAUAUCAAUAAGCGGAGGGA
rnacentral:misc_RNA from 1 species